GCCGCCUGCGCCUCUGCCGCCACCGGGGCGACACCGGGACACCGGGUGGGCUUCCCGCGUGCCGGGCCGAAGCCUGUCCCCGCAGAAGAGGCGAAGCCUCCGGUUCAGGCCCCGCCCCUCGGUUCCGUCCCCGCGAUGGCCCCGCCCCCGGGCGCGCGCUGCGCACCGUGACCCGCCCGAUCGUGGUGACGCUGGCGACACCCGCCACCCCCGCGCCCGGUACGGGACCCCCCGAGCGGCGACACCCCCGGACCCCAAACUCCGCUCCAACCCCGGGAGCGCCGGCCCGAGACCCGCCUUCCAAUCCCAAGACUCCCUCACUGGGACCACCACCCCCGAGACCCCCGGACGGGGAUCCACCCCUCAAGCUCCCCAGGGACCCCCAACUGAGACACCCCUGGAGACCCCCCCUAACGCUGGACCCCCUGACAGAGACCUCCUCCCUGCCCGAGACCCCCCGUGCCAACCGGGACCUCCCCGGNNNNNNNNNNNNNNNNNNNNNNNNNNNNNNNNNNNNNNNNNNNNNNNNNNNNNNNNNNNNNNNNNNNNNNNNNNNNNNNNNNNNNNNNNNNGCCCCGGGCACCCCUCGCGGGUGAGUGACGGGAAUGGGGGGGGGUCACUAGGACCCCCGGGAUUGGGGAGUUUGGGGGAUCCAGGACCCCUGAUUUUACUUUUGGGGGGGGGUGUCCCGGAACCCUGGGUUUUUUCUAGGGGAGUUUUGGAUGGCGGAUCCUUAGCUCUUUUUGGUGGGGAGGAGGGUCCCGGACUCCUGGGUCGCUUUUGGAGGGGGAUCUUGGGGGGAUCCCAGACCCCUUGGGGGGGGCUUGGGGGGGGUGUGGCUCCCAAACUGCUCAGCCCCUUUCCGAGGAGGGACUUUGGACGGAUGUCCUGAAUCCCUGGGUUCUUCCGGGGAAAGAUGGUUUGGGGAGCUGGGAGGAUCUCGGGGUUCUGGUUUCCCUUUUGGUGUAAUUUGGAGGUGUUUAGGGGAGAAUUUAAGGGGGUCCCGGCCCCUACAUUUGGGGGUUGGGGGGUCAGGAUUUUGGGGGGCUGACCCUGCCCCCCAGCCCCUUCCGUGCCCCCCGGGGCCGUGGCCGCCGUUUCUUUCGGUGCCUUCGUGGUGGGGGCGGCGCUCGCGGGGGGCCUUUGGCUCGUGCACGGCCGGACAGGUGAGUGACCCCCCAAAAUCAUCUAUGUCCCCCCCAGAAUAAUCCCCUCAAAAUAAUCCCUCACCCCAAAUAAUACCCCUCCUCAAAAUAUCCCCUUAUCUAAAAUAAUCAAAUCCCCCCAAAUACCCGCCAAGUUCAUCUCCCCCAAAUAAUCCCCAUCCCAAAAUAACUCCCCCAAACAAUCCCCGUCCCCAAAGUAACCCCCUCUCCAAAAUAAUCCCCACCCCCAAAAUCCCUAACCCCAUUCCUGAGCCCUCCCUGUUCUCCCAGAACCGCCCCCAAGGCUGGGACCCCCCCAACCCCCUUAAUCCCCCCCCAAUUCCCCCCCCCAUUUCCCUUUAACCGCUUCUGCCCCCCCGAGACCCUCCCCAAAUCCCCCGAGCUCCUCCCCCCACCCCCUUCAUCGAGGGGCAGAAAUCGCCCCCCGAUUUCUGCCCCUCCCCUCCCGCAGCCCUCCGACCUCCCCCAGCGCUGCCCUCCAGCCCGGGGAGGGGCCAGGUACUGGGGAUACUGGGAGCACUGGGGGGCAGCUGGGAGGGACAUGGGGGAUUUUGGGAUUACGGAAGGGGGAAUUGGAGGGGCAGGGGUAACGCUCCUUUGGAAUUGGAGGGGAGAACUAGGAGCAUCGGGGGACACUGAUACAGACCCAGGGAAUACUGGGAGCACUAGGGGGGAACUGGGCGGGGAUACUGGGGGAUACUUUGAGUACUGGAGGGGAGCUGGGGGGAACUGGAAGGGACAUAGGGGUAUUGGGGGCAGGUCACUGGAAAGGGAUUCUGUGGGUACUGGGGGGAACUGGUCAUGCUGAGGAUACUGGGAGUGGCACAUGGGAAACUGGGAACACUGGGGAGGACUGAGAGCCCGGGGAGUGACAGGGACCUGGGGGUUUUGGGACCCCGUUGGGCCGGGCUGGUGUGUGUGGGAGGGGUCUGGGCUGGGUUAGGGUAUCACUGCCACUAUCACUGUCCCCAUCACUGUUGGGUGACAGGUGAUGAUUGGCAGCUCUGAGCGCUUAGGCUGAGAAAUGCCUGUGGGAAAAGGAAAUUCCAGCAGUGGAAGAUGGAGGCCGCAGCUCAUGCAGCCCAUCGCUCACCUGCUCAGGCCCGCAUGGCAGGGAAGAGCCACAGCCUGGGGAAAUUCGCAUGCGAGGGGGGAGACAGAACUAGCACACUGGAGUAUUAAUUAAUAAAAAGUUCUGCCGUCUGUAACCA
ensembl:lncRNA